rnacentral:lncRNA from 1 species
CUCGGACACGCGUGUCGACGCGUGUCCGGAAGACUGAUGGAGGGUGGAGACGAGGGAGGGCGAGGGAGUAGAGAUCGCGAGCGCCGGCGAGACAGAGCAGAGACCGCGAGCGCCGGCGAGACGAAGCGACGAACGGACCACCGCGACGGCGAGAGACGGCUAGAGAAAGAGCCGAACAGAGAGAAAGAAGAGAGAAGGCAAACUCCCGCCGGCGAGACGAAGCCACGAACGGACCACCGCGACGGCGAGAGACGGCCAGAGAGAGGUGAGGGCCGCCACUGUUGCGAUGGAUCGGCGACGAGAGGAAGACGAGAGGAAGAGGAGAGAAGGGAAGGGGAUUGUGGGGCGCGGCAAGGAGGAUAGGAAAAGGAGGGCUCGGCCGCUGCUAGGG